rnacentral:rRNA from 1 species
CCUACGGGUGGCUGCAGUGAGGAAUAUUGGUCAAUGGGCGAGAGUCUGAACCAGCCAAGUCGCGUGAAGGAUGACUGCCCUAUGGGUUGUAAACUUCUUUUGUCGGGGAGCAAAAGACGCUACGCGUGGGGUGCCGAGUGUACCAGAAGAAAAAGCAUCGGCUAACUCCGUGCCAGCAGCCGCGGUAAUACGGAGGAUGCGAGCGUUAUCCGGAUUUAUUGGGUUUAAAGGGUGCGCAGGCGGACUGUUAAGUCAGCGGUAAAAUUUAGAGGCUAAACCUCGUAGUGCCAUUGAAACUGGUGGUCUUGAGUAAGGGCGAGGUAGGCGGAAUGCGUGGUGUAGCGGUGAAAUGCAUAGAUAUCACGCAGAACUCCGAUUGCGAAGGCAGCAUACCGGCGCUAAACUGACGCUGAUGCACGAAAGCGUGGGUAGCGAACAGGAUUAGAUACCCUUGUAGUC